CCAUUUGCUAAUAUCCCAUCCUUCCUCCUCCUAUUGCUGUUGGUCUGCUGACCAACAGCAAUAGGAGGAGAAUGGGAUAUUAGCAAAUGG